UACGUAGGGUGCAAGCGUUAUCCGGAAUUAUUGGGCGUAAAGCGUUCGAAGGCUGUUUGACAAGUUUGGGGUUAAAUCCGGUCGCUCAACGAUCGAAACGUCCCAAAAACUAUCAAACUAGAGAAUGAUAGAGGCAACUAGAAUUCUGCAUGUAGGGGUAAAAUCCGUUGAUAUGCAGAGGAAUACCAAAAGCGAAGGCAGGUUGCUGGGUCAUUUCUGACGCUGUUGAACGAAAGCGUGGGGAGCAAACAGG
rnacentral:rRNA from 1 species